UUUCUUUCAAUGCAUAAAAAGCGCAUUAAUGGCAAUAUCUAGAAGACAUUUCUAUUGGACUACUGAUUCAAAUCAAUUUAAAUAACAGUAUCAUACUUUUCCGACAAUUUUUCCAUCCAGAAUGUGUCCGUCUUUGAGAACCAAGGGUCUGACGGUUUCGUGGUAUCUGUUCAAGCCAAUCCAAACACUUCCUCAGUCUUCUACAUGUCUGUGAGAUCAUAUCCACCUUCCACAACAGGACAAGGUAAGGAGAAGAUCGGUCUCCCUCUUGUGACUGAAAUGUCAAACACAUCUUAAGACACUUGUGACCUGCUAAGAACAACACACUUUUUUUAUUCUUUUUGGUUUAAUGGUUAGAUGAUGGUGUCGUCAGGACAGCAUAUAAUCUGGAUUUGGAAACUGAGAGAUCAUUAACCCAGACUGUCCACUUGGUCUGAGCCUUUAGUGCAGGGGUCACCAGACACGGUCCUGGAGGGAGGGCCGGUUAGAUGCCCAUCGUGGAACAUAGUAGGUGUGGUGAACGCAGUUGAUCGAGACUGGCCCUUUAAAUCCCUCCAGCUGCUCAUCUCAGGCAUUUCUGGAGGAGACUCGGGUUUCACCAUUGAUCCAGUCAGAGAACCCAGAACUAGAUUAGGAGGAAAAGCAGGAUUUUGUCCAGGAUGUGGACAGAACUAACCAACAGACUGACCUCACUGUACAAGUUCAGAAUAUGAAUGAUAAAGCUGCAGUGUGUGACCCACUCUCAUAUACAUCCAUUAUGUGCUCCACCCUGGUGGCUGGAGUUCCCAUGAUCAUCCUCAGCUGCACAGACCCUGAUAGAGACCACCUAAACUGCCACCAUCACCAAUGGAAACAUCAUCAUCUCUAUUAUGACUCCAAUAGCAGAGCUUCAACUAUCCACUGUUAUACCGCUAUGUUCUCAAAAGUGUUGUUGUGGAGUCUGACACUCGCUUUCAUCACCAUUGUGCUGUGGAGCAUCUCCUAUCACUAUAUCCUAUCAUAAUUAUUUUGUUAAGGAAAAUUAAUGGUCUGGUUUCUACAAC